rnacentral:rRNA from 1 species
UGGGGAAUCUUGCGCAAUGCGCGAAAGCGUGACGCAGCAACGCCGCGUGGGGGAAGAAGGCCUUCGGGUUGUAAACCCCUUUCAGGAGGGACGAAGGUGUGGCGGUGAUAGCCGUCCGCACUGACGGUACCUCCACAAGAAGCCCCGGCUAACUACGUGCCAGCAGCCGCGGUAAUACGUAGGGGGCAAGCGUUGUCCGGAAUCAUUGGGCGUAAAGCGCGCGUAGGCGGCCCGGUAAGUCCGCUCUGAAAGUCCAGGGCUCAACCCUGGAAAGCGGGUGGAUACUGCCGGGCUAGAAUCCGGAAGAGGCGAGUGGAAUUCCUGGUGUAGCGGUGGAAUGCGCAGAUAUCAGGAGGAACACCAAUAGCGAAGGCAGCUCGCUGGGACGGUAUUGACGCUAAGGCGCGAAGCGUGGGGAGCAAACGAGGAUUAGAUACCCUGGUAGUCCACGCCGUAAACGAGUAGGGUACUAGGU